GCUCGUGAUGUUAAGAAGAGUUUGUGGUAAACUUCUCAGGAUGAAAACCAAAAAGGGGCGCGUUACUAGUUUACGAAAUUUGAUUUGUUUCAAGCAAAUAUGAAAAUCUUUUUAACAGGUUUCACAAGAAAGUAAUAUUCAUCGUGAAUCAACGAACUAUAAAUACCUUUCUCCAAUAACUCAAGAAAUAUUUCAUCUCCUCCAAGAUAGCAACUAAAUAAAAAAUUCGCUUAAAAAUACUGUGGAAAAUGAAGACGCCGAAUCCCUUGCUAAAGCAGAACCUGCUGCCUGGAUUUGAGGUUGUAAAUGUAAAAUGGCAAAAUUAGUGUCUGAAAAAAGAAUCGCAAUUAAAUAAGAUUUAAAAAUAAAUAGUUAAUUAAAUUUCGAAUAACAAAAGAAAUUCUUACGAAAUCGAAUAAUAUAUGAAUUAAGAUGCCGCACUAACCCCUAUUACAUUAAAUCAUAUCUGGGAAUUGCUCUUUCUUCAACUAUUGAUAUGAGAGUAUUAUCUCAUCCUCAGACAGCUGCAUUUGGGACGAAAGUGGCUCACCACAGCACCUACUACAGGGAGGAAAGCGGUAACAGUCAGUGGAAAAGAACUGGUAGCAAUGUACCAUGAGUUACGUACUGUCCUUCCUGGAUCCUGUUUCCAAACGACAGUGAAAGUACUUACAGAGAUUCAACACUGCUGUCAUCUCCAGCUGCAACUUAAAGAAAGGGAAAUACCUUAUACAGAAGGACAGAUUGAUGAAAUUUCGAGAACAUGCUAAAAUUGACCACGAAGCAUUUUAUAAUGAAGCAAAGAAAAGAAUGAAUAGAAAAUCGUCCCAUCUAGCAAUGCAAAUGUAAACUGAAAUGACUGUUAACAGAUGGGAUGUGAGAACAAGUAGUUCAGUUUAUUUGAAAUACAGAAAAGCACAUGAAGGCUACCUACCUAAGGGUAGGAAGGAGUUUAUGGUAGAAUUUGUAAAGGAAAUAAGGCCACGCUUAUGUUACACCUGGAGAAAACCACUAAACCUCCCUUGAAACCGACCUUGUUCUCUGAGAUUUAAGCCCUGAUCAAACUACUAGUGUUGCUAGACCACCGUUGUGCGAAAGCAUGUUAACAUUUUAGUCAUUCGCUAAUACAGUGACAUUGUGGUUAAUUGCUACUAAUGUUUUUAAACUUAGUCAAUUUCUCUUUCUGAUUGUAAUGCUUGUUUUCAUUAGUCGAUGCUGAGGAAGUAGUUCGUUUAUGUUUGAUUCGCUGAAAGACUUUCUGUUAAAAUAAAAUCUAGAUCAAUCAGCGUCUUUAGACUCACAUUGGUAUAGGACGAGACAUGUUUGUAAGUGAGUAUUGUUUUGAUAUAAGCACAAGAAUAAUUUUUAAGAUUUUGAUUUUGCUUGAAAAACCUGGGCUUUAAUUUACUUUUCUGUAUAAUUUUCUUCUUCUUACCGUAAUGUACGACCAGCUUCAGAAAUCUGUCUUAAUAGAAAUCUGUCACUUAAUUUGAUAAUCAGCGUGAGCACAACUUUCCAUCAUCAGGAAGUUUUCCGAUGUUUCAGGAAGUGUUCUGCGUGAAACUGAGACAGAACCCUUAAAUUAUCGAAAGUCGUGUUUGCACUGGUUAUCAAAUCAGGCGACAAAUUUAUACGAAAAUAGAAUUCAGAAGCUGGUCUUAUGAUCUGAAAAAUGCUUUAAUGUAAUUAGAAAUUAUGUUGGAAAGUAGAUUGAAGCUGAGGCUUUCGUAAAAAAUGAAAAUUUCAAAACUUAUGUUUCUUGUAUUUGUAUAAUGCCAAUAUAACACUCAAUUCGAUAUGUA
rnacentral:lncRNA from 1 species